rnacentral:rRNA from 1 species
UACAGAGGUCUCGAGCGUUAGGCGGAAUCACUGGGCUUAAAGCGUGUGUAGGCGGAUUGCUAAGUACCUUGUGAAAUCCCACGGCUUAACCGUGGAACUGCUUGGUAUACUGGCUGUCUUGAGCCACUUAGGGGCAACCGGAACAAACGGUGGAGCGGUGAAAUGCGUAGAUAUUGGGAGGAACACCGGUGGCGAAGGCGGCCCCCUGGACCGGUACUGACGCUGAGGCGCGAAAGCGUGGGUAGCAAACGGG